AGAAAAGCUCCCGAAACUGAAGGACUGCCAGGCAGCAGAGUUCCGGAGGGCUCCCAGGACCUUCAACCAGAAAGAGACAGAGCAUAUGCGCAUAUGUAUGUCUGAGCCCGUGCACGGAGGAGGAGUAUGAACAGACACCGCGGGACAGAUGGCUGGAGUUUAGUCCCUUCCUUCGGGGCUCUUCACCACUCCUUGGGCUUCCCUUCUCCUGUCCAGCCCUGUCCUGGGUGCACAGAGAGGGAAGUCACUCCAUUCCUGCCCUUGAGGAGCUCCCAGACCCAGGGCAGGAGCAGGAUGCAGACAAGUAGACAGCACCCUGGGGUGGGUGGAGUGAGUGGGGCAGGUGGGGCGGGUGCAAAGAGAGGGAGGAGCAGGGGCUGAAGUUGCCCGGAGGAAGUGCUGAACCCAGGAGUGGGGAAAGGAGCAUCUGGGAAGAAAUGGCAUCUACGCUGAUCAUGGAGGGCUUUCUGGCAAGUCUCAGGAGCAAUAAUAACACGGAUGUCAUCUCUGUUUCCUCCCAGCAGCCCUGCAAGGAAUGUACUAUAGAGCCAAUUUUACCGGCAAAGGAAUGGAAGAUCUGAAAGGCUAGGCGAUCCCACAAGCAUCGAGGAGCAGGCUGGAAUUUGAACCAAUCGGCAUGAUUCCCAAGCUCAAGCUUUUGGCCACCCCUGCACUGCCAGGGACAAAAAAAAAAAAAAAAAAAAACCCUGGGAGGAGAGCCAAGCUAGGGAGUCAAGACCCUCCAGCCAGGUCUGGAUGGGAGGCAGGUGCCUCCACCCUGGUCCCAGAGCAAGUUCUGCUGGCUUCAGCCACCUGACUUCCCUGUGAAGGUGGGUAGAGGCCAGAGCAGACUGUGUGUGAUUCUGGCCCCAGCCCCAGCACCUCUACCCCCACCUUUACUACCCCUAGGCUGCGGGAAGAGGCUUUGCCCAGCAAUAGUCCUGAUCUAAUGGAUCCUUGAAGCACAAUAAACAGAUAGUAUUUCUGCAUGUGUCACUCUGAGUAUGACGGCAGUAAUCUUGAAACUCCCCUUGACCACCUGGCACUCUGGAGACGGAACUCCACAGCCUGUUUUCAAAGCCAACUCCUGGCUGGAAGUUCCUCUUCAAGUCUAAAUGAAGGACAACUGAGGGCAGAGCUGGG
rnacentral:lncRNA from 1 species